AGCACACCUAGAGCCAUAAAGCAUAGUGCCACCAGCUAACUUCUUAUUGGUUCCUUGCCAUGAGGCAGUCAUCUGACCUCCUAGUGACCAAGGCAAGGUCAGGCAAGCAUGUGUUCGGCUGUUAUGGCUGCAGAAAUGGGGAGUUGGUCCCUUCAGUUUUUUGUCUGUUUUGGUUUUGGGUUUUUUGAGACAGGGUUUCUCUGUGGCUUUGGAGGCUGUCCUAGAACUUGCUCUAUAGACCAGGCUGGUCUCGAACUCAUAGAGAUCUACCACCACCAUCUGGCCUACCCCUUGUUUUUGCUUUCAGGUUCCUAUCCUGACUUCUGUCAGUGAAGUAGUGUAAACUAUAAACAAAAAUAAACCAUUUGUCCCCAAGAAUGAAAGAAAGAAAGAAAGACAGAAAGAGAACUAUGUCUCUAAGGAACUCCACGGGGUAGGCUGACUUCAAGCACCUUUUUGUGGUAGACAUGGGUCAUCAUGAGCUCUGUCACAGAGACUGGGAAAGUCUUUUAAAAUCUGGUAUGUAAGCUAGACAUGGUGGCGCACACCUUUAACCCUAGCACUUGGAAGACAGAGGGAGCUGAAUCUCUGUGAGUUUGAGGCCAGCCUGGUCUACAAAUCGAGUUCCAGGACAGCCAGGGCUACACAGAAAAAACACGUGUCUCAAAAAACCAAAAAAAUCAACCUGCCCCCUCCAAAAAAAUCUUAUAUAUAUCCAAUUUUAGCUGAUGGGACAAGACAGAAAAUACUGUUGGUUUGGUUGGUGUAUCCUAUAAUAGUCCUGUCCUCUUGCUAGCCACUUUUUGUGAGACAGAUGAUCUUGUCAAUGUCAGAAACAGGUCCAUUUUUUUUUUUUUUUUUGAGAGAAGUUUUCUCUGUAACUCUGGCUGUCCUGUCCUGGAACUUGCUCUGUUGACCAGGCUGGCCUUGAACUCAGAAAUUCAUCUGUGUCUGCCUCCCAAGUACUGGGACUAAAGGCAUGUGCCAUCACCACCCAACCACAUCUCUCUUCUUCUUAAACAGAAAUAAAGAUAAUUUACUCUGGAACCAUUAUAAGUGGCCAAGGAACAGGAACAUACAUUUAGGUUAUCUGAAAUUCCAUGACGCAAAAUGGAAGCAAUGUUAUGAUGUUUUAUAGUUUUUGUUGUUGUUUGGGGUUUUGUCCCGACCUGCAGGACAACAACCUGGGACAAGAGAGUCAGGGAUAGGGAAUGGGGACAAGAGAAGCAGAAAGAACCACCACAAGACAGGUUUCUGAUCAAGUGGCCAACUUUACUUUUCUCAGGCUAGCUUAUAUAGUCAGCAGAGCAGGAUAUGGGGAGGGUCAGAAUGGGUUGUUUGUGCACCAGAUGUUAGGAUAGGCAGGAUAUUAGGAAGCCACAAAGAAGAUGUUUGGCAGGGUAAAGAGUUUAUGAGUAAGAGGUCCAGGAAGAGGUUGCCUAGGUGAGUGAGCCUGUGGGUGGAGGACUGGGUCAGGAUGUUUCUUUUCUUGAGCUGAGAUUCUAAGGAGCUGCUAUGUAAAGGUUAAUAUACACCUAUGUGGCUGGCCAAGCAUGGCCUAAGCCAAGCAUGCCAAGUCCUGAGAUUUGGCUCCCAAUAGGGUUUUUGUUUUGUUUUGAGACUGGGUUUCUCUACGUCGCUUUGACUGUUCCUGGAACUCACUCUGAAGACCCCGUGUGAUGGCUUCCACCCAGAAUCCUAAACUACAGUUAGAACAGGAAUUUACGGUCAUCCUAGGCUACACAGUGAAUUUAAAUCUAGCCUGGAGUACAUGGAACUUUCUAAAAAAAAAAAAAAAAAGCAAAAUUAGGGCACUACACACAGCAGGUCUGAUAUUUGUGUGUGGGGAAUCAAGAUCAGAUAAUGAUUGGGGUUGACGAUCUUAUGAAAGAGGCUUCAAGUUGCUUUCUGCCAUUCAGAGGCCAGACAGGAACAAUGGAUUUGUGGACGGGAGGCUUACAGAUAGCCUAAAUCCUGCUCCUGUGUGUGCAACUUGACAGACUUUGAUUUGUUUUCAGACAGGGUCUCACUGUAUAGCUCUAACUGGCCUGAAACACGCUCUGUAGACCAGGCUGGUCUGGAACACCCAGAGAUCUGCCUGCCUCUGUCUCCCAAGUGCUGGAAUGAAUUAAAGGCUAACUUGCUUUACCACAGAACUUUUUUCUAAAAAAAAAAAAAAAAAAAAAAAAAAAAGAUUUUAUUCUGAUUACUUUUUAAGCAUAUAUGGGUGUGUAUACAUGUUGGCUGGCUCCUGUAGAGGCCAGAGGCAUUGAAUCUCACAUAAAGCUGAUGUUACAGACAUCUGUAAGCCACCUAAUGUGGGUCCUGGGAAUCAAACAGAACCCUCUGGAGGAACAGUAUGUACUCUUAAAUGCCAGCUAUCUCUCCUGCCCUGAGCAGACUUUUAAACCUUGGCCUCGACUUUUGGGAUAAUAAAGUCUCAGCUUUGCUUUUUUUGUUUUGUUUGUUUUGUUUUGUUUUGUUUUUUGUAAACUGGUGGCCUUGAGCCUAAUCAUGAACUCUUGAGUAUUUCACAAAGGCAUGAGCUGUGAGGUCACCAAGGGAACCUCAGCCCUGUUAUAUCAGUGCCUCCUGAAGGACAGACUGCCACUCUGUGGCUCAGUGUCCUUGAGGCUGUAGAUAGGUUCUUGCUACAUAAAAAGCUGAGUCUCCAGGAAGGGUCCCAAUCCUCAACUGACCUUGACUUCAUUGUAAUAUCAUUUACAUUGUGGUUUUGUUACCUGCCCCCUGCCUGCUUUGUGGGCUUUUCCAGAGGAUUGUGGGGGGAAAAAAUCUAAAAUGAAGAUCUGUCUACUAUGAUUUGGCAAGGAAAAAGGGUUACCUCCUCCCCCGAAAUGUGCUACCCAUCUAAUAAAUAUUCAUAAAAUCUUACAAAUCCACAAGGCAGAAACAACUGCCUGCUACUGGCCUUUGGGAAAACCCACUCUAAACUCUCCUCUGUUUGAAUUGUUAAGUAAACUCUGUGUCUCUGGGUUGAAUUUUCCUUCCAGAAGACAAGGACUGGGAGCACUCUAACAGAAUGACAUCAUUCCCCUCUUUUGCAGGAUGGAGAGGGAAGGCACAGUUGCAAAGAGAGCAGUUCUUGCCCGACCAACCUGCUGGUGCCUUGCUACUGGACUUCGAUGUUCCAGAACCUGAAGAAAACAAAUUUCUUUGUUAUUUUAAAAAUAAUAACCAUGUUCAGUUACUUAGUCACAGUAACAGAAAACUGACUACAUGGACUAGGAUCAUAAUUAGAAGCAGUAUCUAGAAUCUAUUUCUCUAUUGACCUGCUCUGCAGAUAAGCCUGCCUGAAAAAUAAAUCUCCAUGAAAAGGCAGGAAGGGCUUGAAUGUGCACAAGGUUCUGGGUUCAAUCUCCAUUAUUUCUAAAAAAAGGGGGUGGGAGGGUGGAGGGAGUGAGUGAGAGGGAACCUGAAGAGAAAACAUCCUUAUGUAUCUUCUGAGCCAGUUUAGUGAGACACAUCUCCCCAAGAGUGUGUUCAGCAGAUUUGGCCCUGAGAAGACUGUUGGAGACUGAACUCAGGGCUGAGGCUUUGCAGACAUGGCUGAAACCGUUCUUGAGUGAGGAUGGAUUGAGAGGAAAGCAAAGCAUGUUGGGACCUCUUCAGAAAGGAGGAUUGGAGACCCAGGCAGCCAGUAGCCUAGAAAUGCAGAUGGGACAGGAUUACACGUGUGAUAAGGCAAGGUGGAAUGAGAAGGACUGCGCAAGAAAAGCAGACUGUAGGGGGUUGCAAGAUGGCUCAGAGGAUAAAAAGAUUGCAGAGCAUGUCUGGAGACCUUGAGUUCAAGCCCCUGUAUCCAGGUAAAGAUGGAUGACUUAAUGAUUGGUGGGGAGAUUCUACAAAGUUGUCAUCUGAUCUCCACACACUCACCGUGGCAUUGAAGGAACCGGCUUCCCUUUUGGCAGCCAUAACAGCCGAACACGUGCUUGCCAUAAACCUGCCUUGGUCACGUAGAGGUCAGAUGCCUGUCUCGUGACAAGGAACCCAUCAGAAGUUAGUCACUAGAAAGUCAGAUGCCUGUCUCAUGACAAGGAGCCAAUCGGAAGUUAGCUGGUGGCGCUAUGCUUUACGACCCUGGGUGUGCUUUACGGACAAGCGCACGACAAUGACGUAGAGAGCAUAGCAACCACCCUGGGAGGGCCUAUGGGCCAUAACAACCAGUUGACCAAUCAACACAGGGCAAGCCCUCCAAGCCUGGAAGCACACCAAUCAUGAGCCUACAGAGUCUCAUGAAGCCUAAGGUGGACUGGAGCUCACUGUGUAGAGUGAGAUGACCUUGGGGACCUUGCUUCUCCUCCUUCUCCCUCCUGUUGCUGAGCACACACAUGUGCUACCCCACACCUGGCCUGUACCUGCAGUUUUAGGGUCCUAUUUUGUAGCGGCAGCACUACAACACUUCUCAUGGGUUCAGGCGAGAGACCCGAGGAUUUAAAGAAAGACAAGACAGCGGGUCAUUCUUGCAAGGAGAAUGUCAUUUAUUACAAAGGAGGGGAGGCUUAUAUACCAGUCAGCAGGCAUGAUGGAAAACUACCCAGGUUAGAAGUUCCUGUCCCCAGGCCCCUCUGGCAAUAAGGAUGGGCGGAUAUUUUUCAUUCUUGCAUUCAGGCCUUAUCGAAAGAAGGAAAACAAGAAGUAAGCUCCUAGUCACGAGAUGGUUAGCAGACCCCAAAAGGGGAAGGGCUUAACACUAGUUUGUUUUUUUUUUAUGUCUCCCUAUCUUCAUCUUCCUCCUCCUCUUGUUCUUCUUCAUCAUCAUCAUUAUUGGAUUUUUCAUUUGAAUUUGACAAACAUGGAGUUCUAUAUCAAUGACACAGGUUUCUGCUUCUGGAAGACACAUCUGAGUAUCAGUUGCUGACCACAGGCUGUUCCUAAGUAGAUUUCGAACCCUGGACUUGCUGUGGAUGUAAACCAGUCCAGCUGAUAUGGACACCCCCUGUCUCUGCAACAGAAUCUGCCAACCAGAAGCUCCUGAUGGAUUCCCCAUUGCCUAAAUUCCUUUUUUUGCUUUUGACUAACCUUUCAACCUUCUUGGGUCCCUAACUUCGUCCCAGGUCAGCAGGAAGUAGCAUGGGAAAGAAUAUGUCGUCCAUUUUCCCUGGUUAAAAUGCUAAGUCAGAAGGAACUCCCUUGCAUGGGGAUGCCAAUAUCUCUCACUUCCUGAUGAGGAUGAGGGAGAGACAGCAAUUCCAUGAUUGGAAUUUCCAAAAAAGAAAAUGGGGGAAUGAAGGGACCAGCUCCCCAUUUCAGCAGCCAUAACAGCUGGACACGUGCUUUUCUGACCUUGCCUUGGUCACUAGAAGUUAGGUGCCUGCCUCGUGGCAAGGAACCAAUCAGAAGUUAGCUGGUGGUGCUAUGAUUUACGGCUCUGGGUGUGCUUUAUGGACAAGCGCACAGCAAUGACGCACAGAGCAUAGCAGCCACCCUGGGAGGGCCUAUGGGCCAUAACAACCAGUUGACCAAUCAACACAGGGCAAGCCCUCCAAGCCUGGAGGCACACCAAUCGUGAGGCUGUGCGUACCCCUAGACACUCCCCUUACGCUGCCCUAUAAGAUCUCUAUACAGCCAGUUCGAGCUGUCUUUGCUAGCCAUCUGCUAUGGCGGGUGGGUGAAAGACCAGAGCUAACAUGGGUUUAGCUUGUUAAACAACAAUAAAGCCUCAUGCAGUUUGCAUCAAGCUUUUGACUCAGCCUGGUGAUUGGGGUGGCCGAGGUCCUGGGCUAAGAUCCUGGAAGCCUGAGCUUUCCCGGGGUCUUACAGUGUGUGCUACUUGGCUUGGC
ensembl:lncRNA